rnacentral:rRNA from 1 species
GCUCUCUGGGUGGCGAGUGGCGGACGGGUGAGGAAUACAUCGGAAUCUACCUUUUCGUGGGGGAUAACGUAGGGAAACUUACGCUAAUACCGCAUACGACCUUCGGGUGAAAGCAGGGGACCUUCGGGCCUUGCGCGGAUAGAUGAGCCGAUGUCGGAUUAGCUAGUUGGCGGGGUAAAGGCCCACCAAGGCGACGAUCCGUAGCUGGUCUGAGAGGAUGAUCAGCCACACUGGAACUGAGACACGGUCCAGACUCCUACGGGAGGCAGCAGUGGGGAAUAUUGGACAAUGGGCGCAAGCCUGAUCCAGCCAUACCGCGUGGGUGAAGAAGGCCUUCGGGUUGUAAAGCCCUUUUGUUGGGAAAGAAAAGCAGCCAGUUAAUACCUGGUUGUUCUGACGGUACCCAAAGAAUAAGCACCGGCUAACUUCGUGCCAGCAGCCGCGGUAAUACGAAGGGUGCAAGCGUUACUCGGAAUUACUGGGCGUAAAGCGUGCGUAGGUGGUUGUUUAAGUCUGUUGUGAAAGCCCUGGGCUCAACCUGGGAAUUGCAGUGGAUACUGGGCGACUAGAGUGUGGUAGAGGGUAGUGG